rnacentral:rRNA from 1 species
GAUCAUGGCUCAGGAUGAACGCUGGCGGCGCGCCUAACACAUGCAAGUCGAACGAUUAAAGCACCUUCGGGUGUGUAUAAAGUGGCGAACGGCUGAGUAACACGUGGGCAACCUGCCCCUCUCAUUGGGAUAGCCACGGGAAACCGUGGAUAAUACCGAAUACUUCGAGUCUCCCGCAUGGAAGACUCGAGAAAGCUCCGGCGGAGAGGGAUGGGCCCGCGGCCUGUUAGCUUGUUGGUGGGGUAACGG